AACUUUAUCUUUUAUAUAAAAAGACAAGACAUAAAAGCUACUUUAAUAAAGUAAAGUAGGGACAGGACCCCCUAACUUUAUCUUUUACAUAAAAAGACAAGACAUGCGGCGGAGAUUACGGAGAGGAUAGAUUCAUCCCGUAAUCAUCUGAGCUGGAGCUGGAUUCAAAUCUGCGGUAGUUGACGCAGCUUUUGUGGCAAUUUGC
rnacentral:lncRNA from 1 species